rnacentral:rRNA from 1 species
GACGAAAGCUGGCGGCGUGUUUAACACAUGCUAGUCGAACGGAGUGGCGAACGGGUGAGUAACACGCGGGUGAUCUGCUUUGCACCUCGGGUUAAGCUUGCGAAACUGGGGCUAAUACCGGAUAGUGCAAGAUGAGCUCGCGGCCUAUCAGCUUGUUGGUGGGGUAAUGGCCUACCAAGGCGUCGACGGGUAGCCGGCCUGAGAGGGUGUACUGUCACAUUGGAGCUGAGAUACAGCCCAGACUCCUACGGGAGGCAGCAGUGGGGACUAUUGCAGAAUGGGCGGAAAACUGAUGCAGCGACGCGGCGUGGGGGAUGAAUGACUUAGCGUUGUACGCUCCUUGCGACAGGGACACGGUACCUGUAUCAGGGUCAGCGGGUGACUACGUGACAGCAGCCGCGGUAAUUC